GUGGGGAAUCUUAGACAAUGGGGGCAACCCUGAUCUAGCCAUGCCGCGUGAGUGAUGAAGGCCUUAGGGUCGUAAAGCUCUUUCGCCGGGGAAGAUAAUGACUGUACCCGGUAAAGAAACCCCGGCUAACUCCGUGCCAGCAGCCGCGGUAAUACGGAGGGGGUUAGCGUUGUUCGGAAUUACUGGGCGUAAAGCGCGCGUAGGCGGAUCGGAAAGUUGGGGGUGAAAUCCCGGGGCUCAACCCCGGAAUUGCCUUCAAAACUCCCGGUCUUGAGGUCGAGAGAGGUGAGUGGAAUUCCGAGUGUAGAGGUGAAAUUCGUAGAUAUUCGGAGGAACACCAGUGGCGAAGGCGGCUCACUGGCUCGAUACUGACGCUGAGGUGCGAAAGCGUGGGGAGCAAACAGGAUUAGAAACCCCUGUAGUCC
rnacentral:rRNA from 1 species